UGGAAUUCAAGAAAACAUCAAAGACAAUGGUGGAAACCCAUUUUUUUAAAAUGUAACGGUUGGCGAUUUCGAGCAUAGGUAGUGAAAGAGGGUGUUUCGUGGAGUCCAUAUAUGGUCUCGGUUUUGCUUGGUGAUAAUCGUGAUGACCGAAAUCUUGGUCAAAAGGUGGAGGUGUGAUUUUUGACAAAGAGGAAUAAGACGUUUCAAUUUGCGAUUCAAGUUGAGAAUGGAAGAGGAGAUCACAGCGAUCACGAAUGUGGUCUCAGUUUUGUAAGACAUCCACUAUAAUGAUCGUGGUCGACGAGGGAAGAAACGAGAGGGAAUGGUUUUGGCGGCGGCGUGUACGAAGAAGGUGAAGGAAGAGGAAAACUGUG
rnacentral:lncRNA from 1 species